UUUCCCAGCCUCUCACCUACAACAGUGGCCAACCCAUUGUACUGAGUAUGUCCGUAUUCGGAUAAAAAUAAUCGUAGGGACCUGAAAUUUUCACAGAAUACUAAUGAUAGUUUUUUUUUAUAAACCGUAGUCAUAUUUCCGAAAUUUGCAAUUGAUUUACAUUUGAAGUUUUUGAGGUAUGUAUGUGAUCGUUUUGACCGAGGGAAUGUGAAAAUUAAACAGGUUUUUUUUUU